AAGUCGUAACAAGGUUUCCGUAGGUGAACCUGCGGAAGGAUCAUUACAGUAAAAACAAGGUCGUGUGCUGUUGCUGGCCCUCCGGGGCAUGUGCACGCCGCGUCCGCAUCCUUCUUACACCCCUGUGCACCUUUGCGUGGGGCACUGUUGGCUGUUGCCUUCGGUGCUCUGCGUCUUCUUAUACACACACCACGUAUGUCUUCAGAAUGUCUACUUGCGAUAAAAAGCAAAUUAAAUACAACUUUCAACAACGGAUCUCUUGGCUCUC
rnacentral:misc_RNA from 1 species